rnacentral:tRNA from 1 species
CAAGGGGUAGCUUACACUUAAAGCCAUCAACUUACUAUUGAACCACGUUCACCACGGACCCCCUUGA